rnacentral:ribozyme from 1 species
UUGCCCCACGGCGCCGCCUCCACGUGGCGGGGGUGGUAACUCACCAAAUGGUGAGGCGAAGAGCGCC